AGGAGAUCUACUCCCUCCGUCGGCCCCUGCAGUCUCUCAACUGCAGACUCUCCCUUCGCCAGGUAAUGAGGGAAGAGGCGUUUCUCCACACUUGGCAAGCCUCUGCACAAAUGUGGUGUCUGUACAGGCAAAUAGGGAACUGCAGCCUGGCGUGGAUUCCCUCAAUGUAUCUGUUGCAGCUGCCAUUAUCCUUCAUUCACUCAGGAAUAAGUUGGAUUGUGUGUGAGGCAGGAUAUAGAUAUAAAUUUAAAUGUAGUGCUUAGGAAAUAGAUGUAAAUAGAAUCUGAAGAUUUUGUUGCUAUUACGAUACGAAUGAUACAAGUCUGUGAUUUUUUGCAUUAUUUUCAAAAUAAAAGAUUAUUUGCUCA